AAUUUUAUUAGUAUAAAUUUAUUACUUCUAACUUCCAAUUAGAGAAUCUUUUUAAGAUAAAAU
rnacentral:tRNA from 1 species